rnacentral:rRNA from 1 species
UUCAAUAGGUUCCAAAGCCAGCGGUGAUAACAGUUCCCGACAGAUCACUGACGUUAAACAACGUUGAGCAUGGUUGGUAUCCGGAUGGGUGACCAUCUGGGGAAUCGCGUGCUGUUGAUU